UCUAUCUACCUCUGUAGCUACAGUCCUUGGUAAAAGGUAUAUGGUAGCAGUAAUAAUUCAGCGGGUAAACCAUAGUUUAAAUUAUAUGCAAGAAGAAAAUGGAGGAAAAAUAACAGGAAGAAGUUGGUCAUUUGCGCUA